UCUCAUUCAAAUGACUUGGGGGUCAUUUGACCCCUCUUGUGGCACUAGUAGUAAGUCAAAAUGGCCCGGCGUUUCUAGUGUUAAAAGCUGUAUAUAUUUGAAUAUUAAUGUUAAGAAACAGACAAACUUCAAAUAUGAUUUUUGGGCAAAAGCCACUACUACACAGGUCAUAAUGCAUUAAGGAAUACUGAAUAUCAGUUCAUUAAGUUGAUUUACAGACCAGACAAAAUCAUUUCAAUUAAAGUUAGACUUACCACACUCAAGCAGUUCACUGAGCUUGGCUUCGGAAAUGCUAAUGAAUUUCUGGAUGCCUCUGAACUUGACUUUGACCAACAUGAUCCGUUUGCCUGGAAGGAGGGAUUAAAGACAAAACAAAUUUAAGAAAAACGACCAAACUUGAUUUCCAGUACAGCACUAAAUAAACAUAAUUCCAUGCAUAACCUUCUCUAGGCUUUGAAAUGCAUUUGCACUGAGCAGACAGAAUCUAGCCUGAGCACAUGGCGGCUAGUAACCUCCAUUUUCAAACAACCUCAUCAGCAAUACAGUCAACCAUCUUUCACACUGCAAAAUUACACAGUCACCAUUGUCGCCAAAAUAACUAAGCACAGGGAAUUUAAUUUCCAAUUUCCACAAUGGUAAGCAUAAAACUAGCAAAUAGUGAUAGCUGUGCUCAAGAAAACCUAGGCUUAGUGGCGACGGUUAGCUAUGAUGACUGCUAACUAACCUAGCGUUAGCCGUUAGAUAGCUAAUCAACUUCACAAGGUCACGAAGAGAUCAUGGGACAGCAUAACUCUCACGACAACGGAGCCACGAUACAAUCAAUUCUCUUGACAUAACGUGAUCAAAAUAUCAAGAAGUCAUUCAUUAUUUUCACAUUUCGUGGCAUGUUUUAAUCAAUAAAUGAUCAUACUGUAGUUGCUAUUGGAACUUUCCUUACCUUGCUAGCGUUAGCGAUUAGCUUACGUAGCUAGCUAAAGUUGUCACUACAAAUGUGAUGUAUCAUGCAGUUUUGACCUCUCACGCUAAAUCACAGAGCCACACUGUAAUUCCAUGAGGCUAAAUAAGCAACAGAUUGAAAACAAUGACAUUAUUUUAAAUUAUUACGUACACUCACCUUUCUAUUGGAGCCUCUUCAAACUGGCGCUGACUUCAAGGGCAGAUUCUUGAGGUCUGGCUGUGUAACUGCGUUGUUCCAAAAAAAGGGGUGGAGCCUUCUUUACACUACACUUUUAGCUCUGGAUUUUAACAUAGGCUUCAGUGCAAAUUUAACUUUAUCUGUAGAGGAAUCUACUCUACCUGUAGAGGAAUCUACACUAUAAGUGCAAGUUGAAGUUAACAAUGUGAUUUCAACACUGCAAAUUUUACUGUGUAUAUUGUGAUGAAUAUGUGAAGUGUCGGCUGGUAUGGUUUUUACUAAGCAAAGCCAUGAUAACCGUUAUAUUACGGUUCUGUAAUGUAACCAUUUCAAUACGGUUCUGUAGGAUGUCUUGCAUCAGCCCAUGGUUCUUUUCCCGGUCCGUUUUAUAGGUUAGUUAUGGUCACACCAACCCUGUCGGAAUAACACAGAGAUUGUGCUAACACGUGGCCUAGGCCUCAACUCAACUGUGGAUAAUGUCCGAGUCACGUUUGUGUAAAAGCUACUUUGACGCAACUGCCAAGAUAAGCACAGCGAGGGAAGUCUAGCAUAAGAUAUUCCAUGUAUUGUUAUAACGUUGUUGCAAGCUAGCAGCAGCCUAGCUCAGUUUUGCGAUCGCUUUGAAGUGACGAUUUCCUUGUGUGUAAUCUGGCUUUCUGUGUUAUUUUAACAAAUAUAUAUAUAUUUUUAAUUCCGAUAACGUUUUUCUUUGUUGACCAAUCACUGUUGUGCUUCACCUGUUUUGGCAGUUAUGAGAACCUCACAUCCCCUACUUCAUCCACACCAUGCAAGCGCAGGAGAAACCUGCCUCUUCCCCAAGCUUCAAGCAUUCAUUCAGAGACACUCUUAGACAGAGCCGAUGACUUCUUGGAUGCUGAAGAUGUAGAGGACACCAAUCCUGCCACUACCUUUCAAAGUAUGGCUACAAGUAUUUCUCCACAGGUAAAUGACAUUGAAGUCAUAACUGAAGAAGAAUUUAAUGACAUCCGGAACUCUACAAUUGGCUGGGCCGAUAACACCUGGGAAGAUGACAGUGGAGAAGAUGACAGUUGGUACCCAGAAAUGGAGAUGGACAAUGGGUCAUCUUCAGAGGAGGAAGAAAUGAUGGGGGAAGACUGUGAAUGCAGUGAUGACAGUGACAUCGAUUACGUGCCUUAUCUCUGUGUGCGGACUGGUGGAGCUCUCCAAAAGAGCAAAUGGCUGGACACAUUACCAGCUGUUGGUCUGGAGGAGACUGUUCAUGACCUUGAUGAUGGACACAAUUCCUCAGAAGUGAUACCACCGCUACCAGAGAAGACCCAAGUCCUCUGCAAGGAAGAUAUAAUUGGACAACCAGCUUCCAUUGUCUACCAUAGCUGUCUUAAACAGCUGGCUCAGUAUCUUGUCUUACCAAUCCCCAAGUGCAACACAAAGGACCCAGUAACUGAUGCUGAAUGUGGAGCACUUAGACCAUUUGAGGUGAAAAUAACUUCCAGGGGCACAUCAGUUGUCGUGGAAUGGAUAUGUCAUCAGGGUCACAGUGUCUGGAGGUGGAACUCCCAGCCCACUCUAAAAUAUGGGAUGCAUGCAGGUGACUUCAUGUUGUCCUCGAACAUCCUACUCUCUGGGAACAACUACGGGAAGGUGGCUCUGCUGUUCAAAUUCAUGAACUUGGGAAUAGUACACAGAACCACAUUCUUUAAAAUCCAGGACGCCUACUGCUUUGACGCCAUCGAGGACGACUGGGAUGACAAGAGGUCAGCCAUUAUUACCCGGCUGAAAUCAAAGGACAGUGUAGUGGCCCUUGGUGACGGUCGUAUGGAUAGUCCUGGGUUUUCAGCACAGUACUGUACAUACACAACGACGGACAACGACAGUAAAGAGAUCAUAUCAAUUGUCAAUAUUGAUAAGAGGGAGACCCAGAAGAAUUCGGUUAUCAUGGAGAAGGAGGCUUUCAUCCGGACCUUUGAGACUCUCCACAAAGAGAUUCGCCUACAGGAGUUUUGCACUGAUGCUCAUUCACAGAUCUCGGCGCUCUUCAAUCCAACAAAAGGCAGGUUCAAGGACUCUGGUGUUCGACACACCCUUGACAUCUGGCAUGGGUCAAAGAACUUGGGUAAAAAAAUCCAUGCAGCAGGCCUUCGGAAAGGAUGUUCAAUUCUCCUUACCUGGAGUAAGGAGAUAUGCAACCAUUUCUGGUAUUGCUGUAAGACUGCACAGAACAUUGAUCAGUUCGGUGUCUUCUCCACCAUGUUCAAGGAGAGCAUGAGUGGGCCCUAUCUUGCUGUGAACAUGGCCCCUUGUCGGCCGACAGGGAGAAGGAGUGGAUCCAGAGUGAUUCUGAGGCCUUUCAGGUUCUGUCAGAAAUAGUGCUGGAUGAGCACUGGCUGAAGAAUGUGGAGAAGUUCCUGAGUUUCAGGUCAACCGCUGAGCUGGAAUCCUUCCAUAAUCAUAUACUGAUGUAUGCCAGCAAGCGAUUCAGCUUUAGCCCACCUGUUUACAAAGCAGGCACCCUCUUAGCAGCGUUGGACUAUAACCAUCAUGUUCACAGACCGGUGAAGAGGAAGGCUGAUGGCUCAAUAGAGUACUGCAAGCUCUACAAUAAAAAGUCAAAGACUUGGAGUCUAUACACUGUGAAGGUGGAGAAGGACUACGGAUACAUGGCAGACCUGCAGAGUGCUAUCCUAGAAGCCCGGCUGACAUCAGACAAGGGUUUGCCAAAGACCAGAAAAAAAGGCCUAAUGACCCACGGCAAUAUGGGGUUCUUGCAAGCAUCCCACCACCCAGGACCUGUUGCAAACCCAAUUCCACAGAGGAGUAGGGCAAGGAAUGCAGUAAGAGACCUAGAAGAGAUUGGAGGUCCCAUACCAACUAAACUGGAGCUGACUGUAGGCUGCUGGGGGCUGUUUGGAAUAGUAUUACGCUGCUCACUUUUUGAUUUUUGAUAUUUGUAAAUAUUCGAUUUAUUAGGUCUAAAUGUCCUUCACAGUUUUGAAUUAUUUACACUUUGUUCUUAUAAAAUAUAUAAAAAAAAAAAAUAGGAUUUUGUAUAUAGUUUUUUAUGAUCAAUUUGUUUAUAAUUGACAUAUUUUCAAUGCAGUUGCACGAUUGUUCUGCUAAAAAGGCAUUUUGUUAUGUAGUGCUUUUAUACUUAUUUAGAAUUUGCACUUGUGCUGCAUGUAGUCAUCGAAGGCCAGGGUGUUCCUGUGUGUGUGAGUUAUUAUCUUAUUGUUUUAUUAUUUAAUAAAAAAGCUUUUUACCGCACCUGCCCUCAUCCUUUAUCCAGCAUUACACCUGCUGAAUGUGCAUUGUUAUUAUGAUAUGCUAUAGUUAUUGUCUGCUGUAACCGACAAUGAAAAGAUGGGUCAUAAUAACAGGAAACUGAACAUGUAUUUUUUAAACACUUUUUAAUGAUGCUUAAAGUCUCCUUGUGAGGAAGCCAACAUAUUGUCCAAGUGGGUCUGGGUACUUGUCCCGUAUCCUCCAGACACAACAACUAGGGAUGACGACCCUGUGUCCCCGAGCCAGUGCUCCGUAUUGCCAAACAACAAACUGCCUAUAGGCGGCAAACCUAAAUAGUUUGUUGUCCUCCCCUGGGUCUGGACGGUCAGCCACAGCACGGACAUCAUUCCAGAUCCUCCUGGCCAGCCGUAGAACCCCCCCCUGCAUUAUGUAUGCGUCCAUGUGAGGCAUCAUGGAGACACAGGAGUCCAGGAGUUGUCCACAGCAUUUCCUCUCUAUAUCCGUAGGCAUCUCCUUGCAUUUGGUGCAAAUGCACCAGGCUGGCUGCUGUGGGUCACUGGGACCAGGCUGUUGUGGGUCAGAUGUGGGAUGAGGGAUGGACAUGGCCAGGAGGUCAAAGAUGAGGGAUGGUUCCCGUUCCAAACACAGCUCCAGCAGAUGGUGGGAAGCUUCUAGGUUCAGGUUUCUGAUUCGAACCUGGCCAGGAAAUGUACAAUUACUUAUUACACAUUUAUACUGACAAUUGGCUCGCCUGAUUUUUAAAAGUAUGACAUGAAAUAAACAUACCUGGGGUCUCAUUUAUAAACGUUGCGUACGCACAAAACGGGGCUGAAAUUUGCGUACGUGACUUUCCACGCCAAGGUUGUGAUCUAUAAAAAACCGACUUGACGGGAGAAUGUGCGCAGCCCUAAGCAAACUCUGACCCAUGCGUACGCAUGGUUUGGAGGAAAAGGAGAAAUGGCGACACAGAUUGUGUGGUGGUGAACUGAAGUCAGACAGAAGAAUUGUAGAGUGAGAAGAACGAUAAUGUUUUAUCAUCGCCCUUCAUAAAUUUAAUUUCGACCCGUAUCAUGCGUUAAAUCUACGUAAUCAGAAUAAUUUAAGUCAACUGCGUUAUUUCUCAGUUAUAACUCCAGAAACAUCUCCUUAGAAUAAAAAUAAAAAUAAAUCUCUAUAUUUAAUCCCGUCACUCCAUAGGCUGUCCACUGACGGCGCGACUGCAUGGAAUAAAGCAUCCGUCCAACAUGUGUCAAUAACAUAAUAUUUUUAUGUGACACUGUAAACACAUAAUCAAAUGUCAAUUAAAUCCCAACUGUGGAAAACCAAGCCACACUCCUCAUCACAAUCGUUGUCCGUUACUCUUGAUGCUUUUCAUUAAGUGUUCUCGGUCAGUCUACCGUAACCCUAUAAAUACAGAGGUGAGCGCCGUGGUAAUGCUGCACCAUAUGGCACUUCUGGCGGACCAUGCAAAUGGCAGGAUUCGGAGGGAGAGGGUCUUUAGGGACCAUAACGAUUUAUUGGUAGGCUACAUAAAAAUAUGUACCUUUAUGUCAGACGAGUCCACUUCUUUUUUAAUUCUGGGACUGUGCGCUCCGUGCUACUGAGAGUUCACUGCUGCAGCAACAUGUUGCCGCUCACUCUGCUUUUGGUUGUUGGCGAUCCCAUCCGUGACCGCCGAACAAAACUACUUUUCGGGCAUCCAUUUCACCCGAAAAGUGUCUCCACUUCAGCCUCCGUGAAAUUUCGCUUUUUUGCUUUUCUCAGUACUUCUGCCAUUGUUUCCGACAAGACAUAAUACUUGCAUCUGAGUCUGUUUUAUAUGCAGAUCGCAUUCAUGAGGUCAUUUGCAUUGACCAUUUAUGGUUAAAAAGGGGCGUGUACAGGGCGGAACGUGAAGCUGAUUCAGCUGCGCACACUUGUAGUCAGUAUGUGAUUUAUAAAGCAAAGAUUGCGUACAGGUGUGCGUACGCAGUGUUUUAUAAAUCCGAAUAUUUUUUGGCGCACGCAAAACUUGGCUUAUGGGCGUACGCACAUUUUUAGUAACGAUCCCACGCACAGUUUUCUAAAUGAGACCCCUGCUCAUUUGUGAUUCGUUGAAUCCUGAUUGCUUCCACACGGGCCAUGUCCUCUUGCCCUAUCGUGUCAGGACCUCUCCUACCGCGACCUCGUCCCCUUCCUCUGCCCCUGCCUCUGCCCCUAGGCUGCCUGCCUCUAGCAGCAGAACGUCCGCUGACCCUACAUAUCCCACGUCCUGUGCUGCUAGGACCUGGGAUAAUUGUCCCCAGAGCCAGCUUGGCUCUCUUCUUGGACACUCUUAUAAUGCAAAAAAUUAGCGUUAUUGUAGUACAAUUCAUGACUUCAAAACGUCAGUAUAUAAUAUAUUGAUGACCAGGUUACUAGCUCUGGCAGCUUAUGCUAACGAACUACAGUUGCAAUUAGUUUGCUAUCUUGCUUGGCUGAUACAGCUACCUUUCUUAGGCCUACCAGCGCCAUUGCAAUGAUUUUAAGAUAACAUACAUGGUAUGUCUGUGAGUAAGAUGUUGAUGCUAUAUAUGUACUUAUGUAGCUAUCAGCACUAAUGUUUAAUUACCUCGGAAUCGGACAUGGUGUUUCGUCUUCCUAUCAAUGUAACUGAAUUCACAUGAACGUGCAUAACUGACGUUCGGUGGGAGGAGCUACAGCAGGUAGCAUGGCAGGGACGGGCCAGAGAGCACGCGA